AGCUGUCGCCCUGCCCUUCUUCGAUGUAUUGUAUAAACAAAUUUGGGUCUGAAGUGCAGCAACGGCUUUCUCUCAGUUUCUGGGAUCCCAGAGGCUUAUUAAGGGAAGUGAACCGAGACGACCGCCCUUCUCCUCUGGACUUCAAUUUCCAGGGUCCCAGAGCACCAAGCCAUGGCAGAUAAAUCUGGAGCAGCACUGUUAACAUUAUCCGUAAGAGCAGAAGCAAGGAAAACGCACAGCAACCCAGACCCAAGAAUCAUCUUCCCUAGGACAGCUGGGCAACAAAGGCAGCUCAGUUUGGCUGGACCAAGGUAGAGACUAAAGGGUAUGGUUAAAUGGUACUUAUGGUGUGUUUUCUCUGACCACGUCACAUGAACAAUACCUCUGAGUAGAAUAAUUGACUACCUAACAUCUAUACAUUGAUUUGAAAGGAAACUAGAUGGUUGAAACUCCAGAAGGAAAAAAAGGAUGGCAGCCCAGUUGUUCCUUGGAUCCACAUGCAAAAGAAAAUGCAAUAAUGGAUGAAAUCAUCAAAAUAGAAGACUCUCAUUUGAAGGAAGAGUACUCUAAAAAUGAGACUGCCUGGAAAAGCUCUUUAUGCCUCAGAAAGAAAAAAGGAACCAAUGCAAAAUGCAGACUAACUUGGAGCUUGGCAAUUGGAAGCCUGACAAUAAUAAUUAUCAUUCUCAUCAUUAUAUUAU